UGGGGGGCAGCUAUGGAAGAUCUGCAUUCAUUGUUAGACAUGCGUGAGGGGCCGUCGAUUUUCGUUUGGGAGGUGGGCUGCAAAUCCAGCCGCACUUUUAGUCUUCGUCUCACAGAUUUGUGGUCGGGAGAUUUCUCAUCGUUUCUACAGCCUUCGACUCAGACGUCUUCCAUCUUUCUUGCUUGCGAGUUUUUGCAUCCUUUGUCUUCAGGUUCUUGGGUAAUCCCUAAUGCUAUAUAAGAGGAGCUGAGGUAUUUAUAUUUCACAACAUAUUGGGUUCUAUCAGGAAGGGGAUUGAAUCUCACAGAUUAGCUCAGGUGCUGUAUAACUGUUUUUUAGACUGUUUGGUAGCUCUUCCCAUUGCUGCUAGACAACAGAUAGCUAUUGUGAUCCUGCUUUUGUGUGGCUGUUUUUCGAAGUGCUUGAUAGCUUCUUUGACUACAGGUUAGUGUUUCAUCCAUUUUUC